rnacentral:tRNA from 1 species
GAACCAAGUUACACAAGAAAAAGCUUCUAACUUUAUUCUUAAGCAGUGAAACCCUGUUUUUGGUUCU